UCUCUUCUUUUCCGUUUCCUCUUGCCAAAUCUGAACCCUAGACUCCCGAAUCCUCUCUGAAACAAGAAGCCGUCACUUCCGAUCCAAGAACUCAGAUCACGGAGGCGAUGGCCUUCUCUGAUCGACCGCUCCUGUUGCCUCGGCAUGGCGACGACUGGGGCGUUGGACAAUCUCCCGAUGCCAAGUCCUGAGGGAGAUUCCUCAUGGUUCGGCGCUUCUAAUGUCAGGUUGUGCUCGCCGAUGUUGGAAGGGGUUACCGCACCUGGAACGUUUGACGCACCAAGAGAAGGACAUGAUCGUGAAGCUCGAAGCAAGGUUGUGGAUGUCUUAUGGAAACCCAAACCCUUCACUGGCUAAGAAGCAGGCAUCAGCUGCAUCCUAGCUUCAUUUAUAACCAGCAGUACCUUCCAUCCUUAAUCAUAUUAUAGAUCAGCUGAUUGAGUCCUGUGUUCGUGGUUCACUGUCUCCAGAAAUAAUCCCAUCGAUGCUUGCUGAUGGAUUUCAAGGAUGAGCGACAAUAGAGGUACAAGCCAUUUCGGCUAUGCUUCCCUCUCUCCUUUUUCUACUCAUGCAUUUAUUUGUUCUUUUUUCUUUUUGGUUAUUUGGGUAAUGACCACGAGGUCGAUGAUUAAUCAGAUGGUGGGAUCAGCUGGUUUAGCAAGGGGUGGACUCUCCCCUUCCUAGUGCUUGUAAGAGAUAUAGUCCUAACCCCGUUAGGACUCUCCCUUGCUAGGGUCAGCCUCCUUAAUUGUCCUCCAAUUUGGCUGUAAGGCUUCUCCCAGUCCGAGUGUAACUCUGCUUGGUUAUGCUAAAAUUAGAGUUGAUGUUGGUAUGAUCAAAACUUGAUCUUGAGAUUGGGCUUGCUUGGUGUUUGACUAGGUUAGAUUUGAAUUAGUGUUCGAGUCAAACUUUAAUUGAGCUGAAUUAAACUUCGAUCGAAAUUCAAUUUGAGUUGAACUUA